UGGAACUGUGCCACCCCAGGGAGCAUGUAGAUAUCUCUCCUCACCUUGGAGUGUGAACACCCAGGCGCCUCCAUUCAGAGCCUGGCUCCGUAGCCAAACGAGUCUAGUGAUGUCAUCGUUGCCAUGGAAACUCUCUCCAGGCGUCAGGCAGGACCAACCUCCCCUGAGCAGUUUCCCUUUGUGUGGACUUUGCAAUGCGUUGCCAAGGCAGUGAGGCCUGCUGGGUGGCAUCAAAGAAGGUGGCACCAGCUGGAUCUGCCCACAGACGCCUUCGAAGGUCCCAGGGGAUCUAUCUGAGAUUUUGGCCACUACCUGAAGUAUGGAGUUUUGCCAGCAAUAAGGAGAAAGCCUUGUAGGAGGCAAAGGGCACCCACUGGGACCUGGACGAUCAUGGGGAUUCGACAUGCUUUUCUGAAGGCACCAGGCAUGCGGGCUGUACUGAAGCAUACAAGCAGAGUUCCCAGGACUGGCUCUGUUCUAAAGUCUGACUUGGCUUC
rnacentral:lncRNA from 1 species